AUAAUAAUAAUAAUAAGAAAAAGUAAUAUCAGAUGUGAAACGAAAAAAAAUAUAUCCUCCAUAACCGCUCAUUAAUAAUAUGAAACAAGCAAACAAUUUGAAAUAAAUACAAAUUAAUAUGGAAAUUUUUUUUGCAGAAACAAUUGUCAAAGUAAAAUCGGUCAUUAAAAAUAGCAACCAAUACUCCAAUUGGAACAGAUUUAUAAAAUGCACUUAUUCUGGCUAUUAUUAUUAGAUUUUAACUCGAUUUAAUUAUAAACUUUUAUGAAAUGAUAUUCGAAUAAUAGCGCAAUAAAAUAUGAAAAAUGCAUAGGGUACUUCAAUAUUUAGUUUUAAUUUAAAACUUCGUGAAAACUUUUCCAAAUCCUACUCGCAGUCGUUGUUUAUGUUUACAGGAACUUCCUCAAUUUGAUGGGCAGAUUUUGUGAAUCAUCCCCAUCGUUAAAAUGAGAAUAGGCAGCUGGAACUUAGCAUAAACAUUGUCACGGGUCUAGCUCCGCUGGCCGGUAGAGCGAUUUAAUUGAUGGGGCUUAGCUUUCUGAGCCGUAUGACAAAGAAGGAAAAAAAACACACAAAAAGGGAAAAUGUUUUAUGUCGGUAGCCUGUGCUUCGUCCGUCUAGAGUGAGUCCGUGUGUAUCCGUCCUAUGUCCCCCUACGGUUCCCCCACGCGUGCACCCCCCCUACAUCGCACUCCUACUAAGGCAGUGGCAUGUUCGGCCUUAGCCUCAUUGUGACUCACAGGAAACCUGGGACACAAAAAAAAGGAAAGUGCUGACGGCCUCUGUGAUGGUCGCUGUUGAUAUCUGCUGUUCGCUGUCGAUGAGAUGUGGCGUAUAUCUGAUGAUGAAGAGGAUGAUGAAACUUGAGAACACAAUUUUAUUCGUGGUUUUCCCGUGGCAAAAUUACAAAUUUUCAAACAGCAUCAAUGGCAAGCCACAUGUAGGUAAUUUUUAUCUUGACGCUAUGCGUACAAAAAUCACCACUCCCAUCAAUCAAGUGAAUCCAACAGUGUUCCUUUCCACCUUUAAUUUGAGCGAGAGUUUACCGUUUCCUAAACGAAGUUAUCUGAUGUCACAAAAACACACUUCCCAGCCUUCAAAUGUUCUUCACCGUUUUUUUUUUUUUAAGCAAAAGAACAAAAUUGCGAAGCUUUUCUAAAAAAAAUUUCGAUUUUUUUCUUCUCGCAUCGUCGAUAUUAGUUGUGUUUUUGUUAACUUCUUUUUUUUCUUUCAACUGCUUUCAAUUGCUUUCAUUUUUAUUGCUUUCGAUUUAUCAAAUCAUACUUAUCCAAACCUUUUUCUUUUCUUUUUUUUUUUUUUUGCUUCUAUUGAAUUAUAAUUGCCCUAUUUGCUCA